GGCUCCCUAGUCUAAAGGUUAGGACAUCGGCCUUUCAAGCCGAAAAUGCUGGGUUCAAGUCCCGCGGGAGUCA
rnacentral:tRNA from 1 species